AAUGUAGUAUGUAUGUACAUAUGUGUUGUAGAAAUUUGUUGAAAACUCGUAGAAAAAUAAGCAAGUUCUAAAAAUGGUGUGCCAAAUUUGUGUCUGUGCUUUAAAAAUCGGUUAAAGUGAAAUUAAAUACAAAAAAAAACCUGAAAUUGAUAUGCAAAGAAACGGAUUGCGCACGAAUCUUUUUAGCUGCCAUUGUAAAAGAGUUAAUUUAUUUUUGAAAAAAUUUUUUGUGUACCUAAGUAUGUAUGCCAAUAGUAAAUUAGAGGAUUCGGAAGUGAAGGCUGAUCAAUAAGGGUUUCAACACCAGCCACGAAAAUUAGGCAAUAAGCAGUGAAUACACAUCAGUUACAAAGGUUGUGUUGAGAAAGUUGUAUGCUAAAAGAUAAUGCAUUUAAUUUAAAAAUUAGUGGAAAAUCAUAAAAAAAUUAAAAAUUUAAAUUUCUAAUUCAAAAACCGAAAAUCGCGGAAAAUUUGUUACUUUUUUAUAUAAAGCAGUGUGAAUAUGUCGGCCUUAAGAAAAAAUGCUACCAAAUUUGUAUUGAAAGUAAACGCAGCUGAUCGACAAUAACAAGUGAUUAGAAAA